rnacentral:rRNA from 1 species
GAUCCUGGCUCAGGAUGAACGCUAGCUACAGGCUUAACACAUGCAAGUCGAGGGGGCGAGCAUGGUUCGUUUAGUCUUGUCUAAGAACUGAUGGCGACCGGCGCACGGGUGAGUAACACGUAUCCAACCUGCCGUCUACUCUUGGACAGCCUUCUGAAAGGAAGAUUAAUACAAGAUGGCAUCAUGAGUCCGCAUGUUCAUAUGAUUAAAGGUAUUCCGGUAGACGAUGGGGA